AUUGAACGCUGGCGGCAUGCUUUACACAUGCAAGUCGAACGGUAACAGGCCGCAAGGUGCUGACGAGUGGCGAACGGGUGAGUAAUGCAUCGGAACGUGCCCAGUCGUGGGGGAUAACUACUCGAAAGAGUAGCUAAUACCGCAUACGAUCUAUGGAUGAAAGCGGGGGACCGUAAGGCCUCGCGCGAUUGGAGCGGCCGAUGACAGAUUAGGUAGUUGGUGGGGUAAAGGCUCACCAAGCCAACGAUCUGUAGCUGGUCUGAGAGGACGACCAGCCACACUGGGACUGAGACACGGCCCAGACUCCUACGGGAGGCAGCAGUGGGGAAUUUUGGACAAUGGGCGCAAGCCUGAUCCAGCAAUGCCGCGUGCAGGAAGAAGGCCUUCGGGUUGUAAACUGCUUUUGUACGGAACGAAACGGCUCUGGUUAAUACCCGGGGCUAAUGACGGUACCGUAAGAAUAAGCACCGGCUAACUACGUG
rnacentral:rRNA from 1 species